rnacentral:rRNA from 1 species
GACGAACGCUGGCGGCGUGCUUAACACAUGCAAGUCGAGCGGAAAGGCCACUUCGGUGGUACUCGGGCGGCGAACGGGUGCGUAACACGUGAGUAAUCUGCCCCUGGCUUUGGGAUAGCCACCGGAAACGGUGAUUAAUACCGGAUAUGACACAUUCUCGCAUGAGUUUGUGUGGAAAGUUUUUCGGCCAGGGAUGUGCUCGCGGCCUAUCAGCUUGAUGGUGAGGUAAUGGCUCACCAUGGCUUCGACGGGUAGCCGGCCUGAGAGGGUGACCGGUCACACUGGGACUGAGACACGGCCCAGACUCCUACGGGAGGCAGAAGUGGGGAAUAUUGCACAAUGGGCGGAAGCCUGAUCCAGCAACGCCGCGUGAGGGAUGACGGCCUUCGGGUUGUAAACCUCUUUCAGUACCGACGAAGCGCAAGUGACGGUAGGUACAGAAGAAGCACCGGCUAACUACGUG